CUCUGCCUCAGGUACUGUUUGUUGUAGGCACUUGGGUGGACACAGACAGUAGAUAGGAAACAUAAAUACAUAAAUUACAGUGUUCUACAAUUAUUAUUUCAAGCUCCCAAAAUGAUGCCAACCAGUUCACAAAAAUUCCUUGGACUUUCACAUCAGCUUGCCUUGUCCGAGCUGGCUCUGGCACAUCACGACAUGAGAAACGAGGCAAGAAUAAUGCGGACAGCACAGAGGAAACGAGGCAAGAAUGAUGCGGAUAGCACAAGGGCACAAUUCAUAUUGUGAAUCUCAUGGACAGGAUGUGGGAUGUGAGAGAGGGAGAAAUCUAGGACACCUCCAAGGUGGAUGGUCCACAUAAGCAGAAGUGGAAUAAAGACGUCUAUCAUGGAAAACUGGGGUGGAGGGCCUGAGGUGGAGGGAAAUCAUUUUGUUUCCAUAAGUUAAAUUUGAGAUGUCCAUUAGACACAGAAGUGAAAAGACAACACUGAAGGUUCAACCAGGAGUGGACUCAGAGAUCCAAACAGGAGAUGGGGCAGGAGUGGGAGGAAGAGAACCUCCGCUCCACCUCCUUGAGGAAGGGGAAAGUGCCCUGCAUAGAUAAGAGAGGCCAGCGCGGGCUCAAGGUGGAGCCAUCUGAAACCUUGGCCACCCUGGAAGAAGAGCAGGCCCGGGUGCACACUAUUGUGGUCCCCUACAUGCCGAAGCAACCACCAACCUCAGUCGAGCAACCAGCUUCGGCACUUGAGCAGCAUGCUGAACCACCUCAAGAGCCUGCCCAAUCUCCUACCGUGGGGUCAGCUGAAGCUUCUGGGCCUGAUCUGUUCAAGCCAGACACUGCUGUUGGAGCUGAGUGUUUUGCCCAAGUCGAGAUGCCAGGGGCUGAGUUGAAGCCAGUGCACAUGGUGGGCACACCUCUAAUUGACUGUCCCGAACUGGAGGAGCCACUUGCACCCUUGGCUGCCCCGGAUGAGGAGCAGUCCCCAGAGCCUGCAGUCAAGGUCCCUGAAGAGCUGGAGCAGCCACCUGUCUUAGUUCAGCAACCAGCUUCGGCCCCUGAGCAAAAUCAUGAACCACGUCAAGAGCCCGCCCCAGCUACCACUAUGGGGCCUGAUGAGCCAUCAGGGCCUGAGAUGCCUGGACCUGAGUGCUUGGCAGGAGCCGAGAUGGCACCUGCUGAUUCGAAGCCACUGCAGGUGUUGGUCACACCUGUGAUUCACUGUCCGGAGCUGGAGGAACCACCUGCACCCGUGGCCCCUCCCAAAGGUGAAGCAGGCCUUCAAGUUCUUCAAAGGGCCGGUGCAGCCACCUGCCUUAGCAGAGAAGCCGGCCUCGGCCGCCGAGCAGCAGCUCGUGAUGCCUGCAACCCAAUGGAAGUUUUCCCCUCCCCUCUCAUUGCACUGUUUCUAAUUUUUGUGGUUGCCAUAAACCUCUAUAAUUGGUUCAUGAGUUUUUUUUGUAAUAAACGUUAACUUUGUAUAAAAAUUUCCUCUGAUGCUUUUAAAUUAUACAUCGUGGUACUUUAGGUCCAUUCCCAGUGUCACCCAGGCGAGACCAGAAGGUACUUGGGCCACAUUUCCAC
ensembl:lncRNA